AGUCGAGCGAGGUUACUGUUUUGGAUCCCUUCGGGGUGAAGAAGCUUUAACCUAUCGGCGGACGGGUGAGUAACGCGUGGGUAACCUACCCCAAAGUCCGGGAUAACAGCGGGAAACCGCUGCUAAUACCGGAUGCCUUUACCUUGGGGCAUCUUGAGGUAAAGAAAGGUAACGCUUUGGGAUGGGCCCGCGUCCCAUUAGCUAGUUGGUGAGGUAACGGCUCACCAGGGCGACGAUGGGUAGCCGGCCUGAGAGGGUGGACGGCCACACUGGGACUGAGACACGGCCCAGACUCCUACGGGAGGCAGCAGUAGGGAAUAUUGCGCAAUGGACGGAAGUCUGACGCAGCGACGCCGCGUGAGCGAUGAAGGUCUUCGGACCGUAAAGCUCUGUCCUUGGGGAA
rnacentral:rRNA from 1 species